AGGACGAACGCUGGCGGCGCGCCUAACACAUGCAAGUCGAACGGAGAUCAUUUGGUAGAAGUUUUCGGAUGGACACCGAGUGAUCUUAGUGGCGAACGGGUGAGUAACGCGUGAGGAACCUGCCUUUCAGAGGGGGACAACAGUUGGAAACGACUGCUAAUACCGCAUGAUACAUUUGGGUGGCAUCAUCUGAAUGUCAAAGAUUUAUCGCUGAAAGAUGGCCUCGCGUCUGAUUAGCUGGUUGGCGGGGUAACGGCCCACCAAGGCGACGAUCAGUAGCCGGUCUGAGAGGAUGAACGGCCACAUUGGGACUGAGAUACGGCCCAGACUCCUACGGGAGGCAGCAGUGGGGAAUAUUGGGCAAUGGGGGAAACCCUGACCCAGCAACGCCGCGUGAAGGAAGAAGGCCUUCGGGUUGUAAACUUCUUUUACCAGGGACGAAGGACGUGACGGUACCUGGAGAAAAAGCAACGGCUAACUACGUG
rnacentral:rRNA from 1 species